CUGCCCAGGGGGAUCCAGAGACUUCAGAGAGGAACAGUGCUCUCAGUUUGAUGGAUCUGAYUUCCAGGGAAAACGAUACAAGUGGCUCCCAUACUAUAGAGCUGACAACCCUUGUGAGCUGAACUGUAUGCCCAGGGGAGAGAACUUCUUCUACCGUCACAAGACAGCUGUGGUUGACGGUACCCCCUGCCACCCCGGGAGGAAGGACGUGUGUGUGAAUGGCGUCUGUAAGCGUCUGGGCUGUGACAACAUGCUGGAAUCCCCUCAGCAGGAGGACCCCUGUCUGCAGUGUGGCGGCAACGGACAAUCCUGCUACCCAGUCAGGAGUACCUUCGAUAUUAACAACCUGCC